AAUCACUAUUGUAAAUACACUAUCUAGUCAAAUAUCUUUUCAAUAACCAUCAGAAUUUACUGAUUACUUAAAAAUCACAAUCUGCAGUUUUCUACUCAAUUUGGAAAUGAUGUUUUGUAGUUUUCUUUAUUGUUAAAUAAAGCAGAAUGUAUAUGGAUGUUCUUCCUUUUUCUUUUGCAUCAAUGGCACUCAAAUAGCAUUCAUGUCAUUAUUUUAAUAUGUUAUAAGCAUUGUCACUAACAAAAAUCUGUUCUGCAGCUUUGUGCUGGACUGAAACAU
rnacentral:misc_RNA from 1 species